rnacentral:rRNA from 1 species
UACGAAGGGCUAGCGUUGCUCGGAAUCACUGGGCGUAAGGCGCGUAGGUGGCUUCUUAAGCGUGCGGUGAAGCCUGGGCUCAACCCCGGGUCGGCGUGCGAACUGGGGGCUGGAGCACUGUAGAGGCAGGCGGAAUUCCGGUGGAGCGGUGAAAAUGCGUAGAGAUCGGAAAAGAAACACAACGGCGAAAGCACUCUGCUGGGCCGACACUGACACUGAGAGACGAAAGCUAGGGAGCGAAAUGGGAUAGAU